ACUUGAAUUGAAGAGUUUGAUCAUGGCUCAGAUUGAACGCUGGCGGCAGGCUUAACACAUGCAAGUCGAACGGUAGCAGGAGAAAGCUUGCUUUCUUGCUGACGAGUGGCGGACGGGUGAGUAAUGCUUGGGAAUCUGGCUUAUGGAGGGGGAUAACGACGGGAAACUGUCGCUAAUACCGCGUAUUAUCGGAAGAUGAAAGUGCGGGACUGAGAGGCCGCAUGCCAUAGGAUGAGCCCAAGUGGGAUUAGGUAGUUGGUGGGGUAAAGGCCUACCAAGCCUGCGAUCUCUAGCUGGUCUGAGAGGAUGACCAGCCACACUGGAACUGAGACACGGUCCAGACUCCUACGGGAGGCAGCAGUGGGGAAUAUUGCGCAAUGGGGGGAACCCUGACGCAGCCAUGCCGCGUGAAUGAAGAAGGCCUUAGGGUUGUAAAGUUCUUUCGGUAUUGAGGAAGGUUGAUGUGUUAAUAGCACAUU
rnacentral:rRNA from 1 species